AUACUAAUAUUAUUCUACAAUAUACAAACAAAGCAAGUAAGCUUACCAAAGUGUUGCUCUACAUGCUGUAGAAAAUUAGCUGUAACUGUUUUUAAUUAGUUUGAACAACAUGAAUAUGAUGUAAGUUUGUAAUCAGGCUUGGGUAUAAUUUAUGUAAUAACUCUCCAGGACAAGUCUGUUAUUAGUCAUGGGUAUAAUUUUUGUACAUGUAGUAUUGUUCCAGAACAGGCCUUAUUUAUUUGAUUGUGACUGACUGGUAUGGUUAUAUAAUGUAGAAUGAAGUCAUAUGUAGAAUCUGUUUAUCUAUUAAAGCUAUAUCACAUAUUUUUAAACAAAUCUGUACAAUUUGUGUGAGUGUAUUUUAUUUAAAUGAUGAGUACGAAUGUGUGGGUGUGAUUGUGUAAUUAUUAUACCGCGAGACUUGUAUUUAUAAUAGUCUGGCUUUUUGUUGAUGUUGUUUCUCAAAUUUCCAUUUGUUUGAGGUCAAGUCUGUACAUAAAAAAAUACAAGUAAUGAAUGCAUUUGUGUAUAUCAGAUUGAUAUUUUCUUAAGUUUGAAUAAGUUUCAUUAAGGAAGGGAUGUCAGUAUACCAUUUGAUGGCCAAUACAGCUUUCAUUACAUGUGAAAAGGCAUAACACAUGAUUUCUAUUCAAAGAUAUCCUAGUUCUGUUUAACCAUUCAAAUAUGAUUCAAAGGGGUACAUUGCUAUUAUAAAAUAUCUAUUUCUUUUUUAGAAAAAGAUUCAAGCAUGUGUAUGAAAUAAAACAUUAUUAUAAGCAGAAUUUACCCCAUAUUGCCCUGUUCUUGAAUUCUGUAUUAAUUAAACAAUCUUUGUGAAGUCAUGAAAGUUCUGUACAACAAAAUUUAAAGCUAAAGCAACUUGUAUGAAUAUAUAGCAAGAAAAUUGUUUUAAAAUAUCAAUCAUGAAUCAGGAAAAGUAAAUUUUGUUUUAAGUGUAUGUUGGCAUUAAUAAUGUGGCUGUGAUGACUUUUGACUUUAACAAUAAAAUGCUAAAUUAUUGCUAAAGAAGACUGCCAUUAUCAAAUUGAGCAACAAAAGGGAAAAAAGCACUAAAAUAUUAUGGCAAAUACAGUAACUUAAUCCAAUGAUUUAUACAUGUUUUGAAUAAGUGACCGCACCCUGUAUUUCUACCCUAACAUUAUAAAAUGUACCUUUAUUGCUAGCAUGUUGGUAUAUUUUUGUUACUGCUUUAUUAACUCAAUAUUAUGACUGUAUAUUUGUUAAUAUUUGAUGUAAAAUCUUGUAUGAGAUUAUAAUAAAUUAUUUCUUUGAAAAAAUCUAUAUUCCUAUACAAUUAAAUUUCUAGUGGGCUUUGAUUACACAUUUCAGCUCAUGUGCCCCUGGUCUAGUGGGAAUGGACACAUGUUUGAUACACAGGUAUUUUCCUAAUCAGCCUUUAGUGUCAUGAUACAUUGAUAAAUUUAUUAUGUUGGAAAGAUUUCAAGACAAAAUAUAAAGAAUGUCAGAGAAAUAAAAGAUGAUAUAAUGAAUUAUAGUAAACAGUCGUUUCUGGUCGUAUAAUGCCAGGACUGUAAGAGCUGUGGAAACAACUUUGAGGCCAACCUUAAAAAAUAUUUUGUUUGAUGUUGCCUACCAUUAAGUAGGGAUCUAAAAGAAAUUGGUGAAAAGACGUAAAUUAAUAGACAAGACAAAGUAAAAGCAGGAACAAAUAUUUUUUUAAAAUCUGAUAUGAUUCUUUGGGUAGGCUGCUUUUCAGGCAACAUCAAACAAAUAAAAUUUUGUGUUUGGCCUGAUCUUACUGUGAUUAUUAUGUAAAUAUAUGUUUAUUUUUUCAUCACAAAUGCUUGUUUAUCGUAUGUCUGUACGAGUGUAUGUGAGAGUUGAGGGUACAUUUUAUAAACAAAAC
rnacentral:lncRNA from 1 species